GAUGAAGAACGUAGCGAAAUGCGAUACUUGGUGUGAAUUGCAGAAUCCCGUGAACCAUCGAGUCUUUGAACGCAAGUUGCGCCCGAAGCCAUUAGGCCGAGGGCACGCCUGCCUGGGCGUCACACGUCGUUGCCCCCCCAUCUACUCCUUCGGGAUUGCGGGGGGCGGAUGAUGGCCUCCCGUGCACCUUGUCGCGCGGUUGGCAUAAAUGCCAAGUCCUCGGCGACGCACGCCACGACAAUCGGUGGUUGCGAAACCUCGGUUGCCCGUCGUGUGCGGUCGUCGCGCAUCGAGGGCUCGAAAAAAUUGCCGGGCUCCGGCUCGGCUUUCAACGCGACCCCAGGUCAGGCGGGGUUACCCGCUGAAUUUAAGCAUAUCAAUAAGCGGAGGA
rnacentral:misc_RNA from 1 species